rnacentral:SRP_RNA from 1 species
CCGGGACCGGGCCUGGAGAGCACACCCAGCUCUCCCCUGGGUAACACCCAGGCCGAUGGGUUCGGAGGCCGAAACCCGCACAUGGGUUUGGACACGGAGCCAGGGAGCACCGGUACCUCGAUGAAGACCAGUCCCCUAGGGUGCCCACGCCGCAGAUGGCCAGCCGUAGGGCUGGUCGUCUGCGGAACCCGGCGAACCGGGUUAGGCCCGGGAGGGAGCGGCCCUAAGCCGGGGUGGGCACGUUUAGGGGGUAGCUGGUCGGAGAAUGGGCCGGUGUGAGCCCUGGUUUCGUGCCUAAAUCCAUGUGCGGGGUUGGGUCCCGA